ACUCCUACGGGAGGCAGCAGUGGGGAAUAUUGCACAAUGGGCGCAAGCCUGAUGCAGCCAUGCCGCGUGUGUGAAGAAGGCCUUCGGGUUGUAAAGCACUUUCAGUCGUGAGGAAGGUGGUAGUGUUAAUAGCACUAUCAUUUGACGUUAGCGACAGAAGAAGCACCGGCUAACUCCGUGCCAGCAGCCGCGGUAAUACGGAGGGUGCGAGCGUUAAUCGGAAUUACUGGGCGUAAAGCGCAUGCAGGUGGUUUGUUAAGUCAGAUGUGAAAGCCCGGGGCUCAACCUCGGAAUAGCAUUUGAAACUGGCAGACUAGAGUACUGUAGAGGGGGUAGGAAUUUCAGGUGUAGCGGUGAAAUGCGUAGAGAUCUGAAGG
rnacentral:rRNA from 1 species